GACGAACGCUGGCGGCGUGCUUAACACAUGCAAGUCGAACGGAAAGGCCCUGCUUUUGUGGGGUGCUCGAGUGGCGAACGGGUGAGUAACACGUGAGUAACCUGCCCUUGACUUUGGGAUAACUUCAGGAAACUGGGGCUAAUACCGGAUAGGAGCUCCUGCUGCAUGGUGGGGGUUGGAAAGUUUCGGCGGUUGGGGAUGGACUCGCGGCUUAUCAGCUUGUUGGUGGGGUAGUGGCUUACCAAGGCUUUGACGGGUAGCCGGCCUGAGAGGGUGACCGGCCACAUUGGGACUGAGGUACGGCCCAGACUGCUACGGGAGGCAGUAGUGGGGAAUAUUGCAGAGUGGGCGGAAGCCUGAUGCAGCAACGCCGCGUGCGGGAUGACGGCCUUCGGGUUGUAAACCGCUUUCGCCUGUGACGAAGCGUGAGUGACGGUAAUGGGUAAAGAAGCACCGGCUAACUACGUG
rnacentral:rRNA from 1 species